rnacentral:rRNA from 1 species
CCUACGGGCGGCAGCAGUGGGGAAUAUUGGACAAUGGGGGCAACCCUGAUCCAGCCAUGCCGCGUGUGUGAAGAAGGCCCUCGGGUUGUAAAGCACUUUCAGUGAGGAAGAACGCCUGGUGGUUAAUACCCAUCAGGAAAGACAUCACUCACAGAAGAAGCACCGGCUAACUCCGUGCCAGCAGCCGCGGUAAUAUGGAGGGUGCGAGCGUUAAUCGGAAUUACUGGGCGUAAAGCGCGCGUAGGUGGCUUGAUAAGCCGGUUGUGAAAGCCCCGGGCUCAACCUGGGAACGGCAUCCGGAACUGUCAAGCUAGAGUGCAGGAGAGGAAGGUAGAAUUCCCGGUGUAGCGGUGAAAUGCGUAGAGAUCGGGAGGAAUACCAGUGGCGAAGGCGGCCUUCUGGACUGACACUGACACUGAGGUGCGAAAGCGUGGGUAGCAAACAGGAUUAGAUACCCCGGUAGUC